rnacentral:rRNA from 1 species
GCCCUUACCAUGUCGGGCAAAAACAGAGAUGCAAGUUUCCCUUCGGGCUCCGGAACCUAGGGUCUGCAAGGCUGUCGUCAGCUCGUGUCGUGAGAUGUUGGUUUAAGUCCCGCAACGAGCGCAUCCCUCCCGCUUAGUUCACAGCAUUCAGUGGGUCGCUCUAAGGGGACGGCCCAUGAUAAGCCGAGAGGAAGGUGGGGAUGCCGUCAAGUCCUCAUGGGCCUUACGGGCUGGGUUACCCACGU